UCUUACCUUCUUUCCUCAAACCCUAGAAUUCACAAUCUUCUCAUUCAUGCCUUCUUUCUUCAAUCCUCUGCUCCAUUCAACCUUCAGUGAUAUGGAUUUUGAGAAUGAGAGCCAGAGAGAGAAAUAGAGGAUUUGGGAGAAACAGACCGCUAAUUUCCAUUUUGGUUUCUGGAAUUGGUGAAUCGGGAGAUGCUGAUGAUUUUCAACUCGUGGUGGUGUUGUCUUACAAGUUUGCUGGUCUGUAGUGGAAUAGCGGGUUUCUUCAACAUUCGGCACCACCAAAGCUGUCAAGGUAAAGACCAAGAUUACAUAUAAUAUUGGACUUAAAUGUGUUUGUGUGCGCGCGCGUGUUUUAGGUGGCACGCGGUCCAUUUGUGUGUUUGCUGAUGAGUGAUGAGAUGGGAAGCAGUUCGGUUUCUCCGCUAAUCGUGACAGGUGGAAAAGGCGGAGAUGUCGGAGUUCAUGAUCUCCGUUACAUAGCCACAUGAAACCAAAAAAACACAAAAAUUCUGAUAACGAUGAUCAAAAGUUCAGUGCAUCUUCAACCGCAGGUUUGCAUAAUAAACACAUGGAUCAAAAUGGAAAUGGAAUAUUGUGGUACAUACCAAAAGCUCACUCUGGGAGUGUAACAAGAAUAUCGGCUAUUCCAAAUACGAGUUUUUUCUUAACUGAAAGUAAAGAUAGAGAUGUAAAGCUAUGGGAUGCUAAGAGGGCAACAUUGGUAUAUCACUGGCAAAAAAAUGCACGAUAGACACACCUUCAUUCAACCUAGCUCUAGAGGAUUUGGAGGAGUUGUUAGGUUGUUUCAAAUGAUUUUCUUUCAUGUGGUGGUGAUGGUUCAGUUAAGCUAAGCUGGUUUAACUUAGAGAUUUACUAUAAUCCACUUGGCCCAUGUCUGUCGGCCCAUCGUCAACGUCCUGUUUUUGGUGCUGUUCCAACGAUACGAGUAUGUUCUAUGGAAUGAAGUUCUUCAAUGACUUACUAAUGGAAGCUGGCCCGAUCGUAAAUAUACAGUCGGUAGUACUACUACAAAAAGAUUAGAACACAUUCACUUUCAUGCAAGGAUUGUGCAAGGAUUGACUGAGUUGCCUUAACACUCGUCAUAACGCUGAAUCUUUUGGUGUUCAGCAAUUGAAAGACUAUCAUCCGACCUUUUGGUUGGAGGGGACUCGAUUUACUUAAAGAAAGCUUUUAGCAACUCAAUGAUAUGCAACUUCAAAGAGACUUGACUAUCUUCAAAUUGUAUAUGCACUUUCUUAGUAAUUUAUGUAAUAUGCCACUUUUAUUUUA